rnacentral:rRNA from 1 species
GACGAACGCUGGCGGCGUGCUUAACACAUGCAAGUCGAACGGAAAGGCCCUGCUUUUGUGGGGUGCUCGAGUGGCGAACGGGUGAGUAACACGUGAGUAACCUGCCCUUGACUUUGGGAUAACUUCAGGAAACUGGGGCUAAUACCGGAUAGGAGCUCCUGCUGCAUGGUGGGGGUUGGAAAGUUUCGGCGGUUGGGGAUGGACUCGCGGCUUAUCAGCUUGUUGGUGGGGUAGUGGCUUACCAAGGCUUUGACGGGUAGCCGGCCUGAGAGGGUGACCGGCCAAAUUGGGAAUGAGAUACGGCCCAGACUCCUACGGGAGGCAGCAGUGGGGAAUAUUGCAAAAUGGGCGGAAGCCUGAUGCAGCAACGCCGCGUGCGGGAUGACGGCCUUCGGGUUGUAAACCGCUUUCGCCUGUGACGAAGCGUGAGUGACGGUAAUGGGUAAAGAAGCACCGGCUAACUAAGUG